rnacentral:rRNA from 1 species
UAAGUCUCAGUUCGGAUUGAAGGCUGAAAUUCGCCUUCAUGAAGCCGGAAUUGCUAGUAAUGGCAGGUCAGCAUACUGCCGUGAAUACGUUCCCGGGCCUUGUACACACCGCCCGUCACACCAUGAGAGUUGGGAAUACCCGAAGCCUGUGAGCUGACAUUAAGAGGCAGCAGUCGAAGGUAGAAUCAAUGAUUGGGGUGAAGUCGUAACAAGGUAGC